AGAAAAGAGGUGUACGUAUAAGCAGAACCGCAGUGAAAGCUACUUAGAAGGGAGGAAGAAUGAUCGAACAAUGUACCUCCUGUCCUGCAGCAGCCUGAGUGUGAAGCAUAACUGAAGGUAGUCCAUGCAUCUCUCCACUCGCUCGGCCCCUUCCCCCAACGCUCACCUGAAACACAAGAGAUUUCAUUUUGGCUGAUUAUUUCUGCCCCCGACCCAGUCCUCAUCCCGUUCAAUAUAAAGACCAGAUGGGCUCCAGCAAACCAAAGAUUGGCCUUGAAUCGAUCAGCAUGCAGUUUGCUGAGGACUCUUUACAACUAAGCACGCACUUGCUUGUGUUGACGCGACAAAUCUGCAGAGGAGAGAUCAAAGUAUAUUGCUUAAGGUCUUGGCUCUUGUACACUAGAUUUAAAUGGCAGCCCUAGAUUCAGAAAUGAUCUGACAGCAGCAUGCUGGAAUAUAAACUUAUAAGGAGAAUGCUAAAUCUGGUUCAUGUUUAGGCUGAACUUCGUAUCACAAGAAUGGAUGUUUGAUGUUUAGAUAUUUUAACAUUUGAAAAUAUAUAUUCUUGAACUGCCAACUAGUUCCUAUUGUAAUCCUUAGCAUGCAUGAUGAGAAAAAAAAAGAAAAAAAAAAGAUGAAUUAGCUAUUGAAAUUAAUUGUUGUGGUUGUGCACCAGAUGUUUCUAAACCUUUCGUUUAAGGCCACCCCACACCCUGCACCCUUCCCAUGUUAUUCUCUAUACCUUCCCCAUAAUCCAGUAUCAAUAGGAUGCACAGAGGAGAAAAAUAAAAUAAAAAAUACACACA
ensembl:lncRNA